rnacentral:rRNA from 1 species
GACGUAGGGCGCGAGCGUUGUCCGGAUUUAUUGGGCGUAAAGAGCUCGUAGGCGGCUUGUCGCGUCGUCCGUGAAAACCCACAGCUCAACUGUGGGCUUGCGGUCGAUACGGGCAGGCUAGAGUUCGGUAGGGGAGACCGGAAUUCCUGGUGUAGCGGUGAAAUGCGCAGAUAUCAGGAGGAACACCGGUGGCGAAGGCGGGUCUCUGGGCCGAUACUGACGCUGAGGAGCGAAAGCGUGGGGAGCGAACAGG